AUAUGAAAAAUGCUCAUGAAGGUAUUGUUAGAAUUUAUCCUAUUAGGAGCAUGGAGAGACAAGGUCAGCCACCUGUGUCGGAAUAACUUUUGUGCUGGUAGAAAAAUUUCUUGUCAUCUCAAUAAUGUCCCUAGGUAGAUAACAAUCUUUUUUAUCUUUGGAGCAAAUUGGUAAAAUUGGACAGUUUUGGGGGGAGAUAUGUCUUAUCUAUAUAGUUGAAAAUUAAUGAGUUGGUCCGGCCCUGCAUGAGUCACCGGAUCAAAUGACAUCAAACUCUUUAUUUUAUACUUUUGUACAGGGGUUGUAGCUCGUUUCCCAAGCUCAAGCGGUGCGACCUGGCUCGCCGUACUCUUGGUAUUAUUGCAUAUAUUGCAUUGUUCCCGUACGUAAAGCCUGACUAUGGCGGUUCUCAUUGGUAGAAGUUUCAUCUUAUCUUUGCUCAUUACUUGUGUAUAUAAACUGUCAACAAAUGCUCAGAGUA